rnacentral:rRNA from 1 species
UACAGAGGUCCCAAGCGUUGUCCGGAAUUAUUGGGCGUAAAGAGCUCGUAGGCGGUUUGUCGCGUCUGCUGUGAAAACUCGGGGCUUAACUCCGGGCCUGCAGUGGGUACGGGCAGACUAGAGUGCGGUAGGGGAGACUGGAAUUCCUGGUGUAGCGGUGAAAUGCGCAGAUAUCAGGAGGAACACCGGUGGCGAAGGCGGGUCUCUGGGCCGAUACUGACGCUGAGGAGCGAAAGCGUGGGGAGCGAACAGG